GCUGCUCCUAGUACGAGAGGACCGGAGUGGACGCAUCACUGGUGUUCGGGUUGUCAUGCCAAUGGCACUGCCCGGUAGCUAAAUGCGGAAGAGAUAAGUGCUGAAAGCAUCUAAGCACGAAACUUGCCCCGAGAUGAGUUCUCCCUGACCCUUUAAGGGUCCUGAAGGAACGUUGAAGACGACGACGUUGAUAGGCCGGGUGUGUAAGCGCAGCGAUGCGUUGAGCUAACCGGUACUAAUGAACCGUGAGGCUUAACCUUACAACGCCGAAGCUGUU
rnacentral:rRNA from 1 species